GUAGAAAUGGGGUUUCACCAUGUUGGUCAGGCUGGUCUCAAACUCCUGACCUCAGGUGAUCCACCCACC
rnacentral:miRNA from 1 species